GAAUGAUGGUCAUCUUGAACUUUUACGAGUUAUUCAAUUUUUGCCUCUAAUGUUUUGAUAAUCCUUUAUUUUCUCUUCUCUUGGUUUUAGGAUGUCGUUGCAAGAUGAUGAUCGACUCUGAGAUGGGAUGCAGGAAUUAUUCAUCGGUUUUUUCGGUUCCAAGAAAGUAAAAUUAUUUCACAAAAUCCAAUCAUGUUUUUUUGGCCUCUUAUGACCAUGAUUUGUGCUUCUGGUUUCUUAUGUCCAUUCUAAUGUAGGAAAAACCAGCUUUUGAAAACUUUCUGAACUUUUCAUGUUUGAUUGUAUGGCAUUAUUUGGUAUGUUUUGUGGUUCAAGGCAACAUUGUUGGUCAUAUAUUCUAUAUGUUGGAUGAAUUUCUCGCGGUGUCAGCGGAACUUUAAUAUUAGCAUUUCGAUUGAAAAAAUAUCUUAUUUUCUGUUUUUUGUGGUAAUAGUCACAACUUCUGUCAUCAAUGAAUAUUGUAGUCUGUAGUUCAGAAUCAAGUUACGAACCAGCAGGUGAAGUGUUGCAAGGCAAUGAUGGGGCAUCAACAUUACUGACGAGAAUUAAAGUGGUGAAUGGGAUCAAUUGUUACCUAUCAUCCCAGGUUGUCUUGCACGCUUUGCUGUGAACAAUGUCGUGUUAUAGAUGAAGAAUGGAGCGAUGACAGGCUCAAUGUCCCAGAAAGAAACCCUGGUUUUUUUCCCUUUUGGUGAUUGAUCGUCAGUAGUUGUUCCCUUUAGGUUAUUUUGGAUCGCAGUCUCCCUUUUGUAGUGGGCAGCAAAUAUGAACUCAGUGCCUGGUGCAACAAUUUCCUUGUGCACCUCGUGUGUGUGUAUGUGUUGGUUUUUCCGUCCUCUAAUAUAAUGCUUGCACUGCGCGCAAGCUUUUGGUUCAUCCUA